rnacentral:rRNA from 1 species
UAGGGAAUCUUAGGCAAUGGACGAAAGUCUGACCGAGCAACGCCGCGUGAGUGAAGAAGGUUUUCGGAUCGUAAAACUCUGUUGUUAGAGAAGAACAAGGACGGUAGUAACUGAACGUCCCCUGACGGUAUCUAACCAGAAAGCCACGGCUAACUACGUGCCAGCAGCCGCGGUAAUACGUAGGUGGCAAGCGUUGUCCGGAUUUAUUGGGCGUAAAGCGAGCGCAGGCGGUUUCUUAAGUCUGAUGUGAAAGCCCCCGGCUCAACCGGGGAGGGUCAUUGGAAACUGGGAGACUUGAGUGCAGAAGAGGAGAGUGGAAUUCCAUGUGUAGCGGUGAAAUGCGUAGAUAUAUGGAGGAACACCAGUGGCGAAGGCGGCUCUCUGGUCUGUAACUGACGCUGAGGCUCGAAAGCGUGGGGAGCAAACAGG